rnacentral:tRNA from 1 species
GUGUCUGUAGCCUAGUGGUAAAAGGCAGCACUCUACACUGCAGAUGCUGAGGUCGUGGGUUUGAAUCCCACCAGACACA